rnacentral:lncRNA from 1 species
AUGGCUCUUACUUCUCAGAAGGGUCCAAGCCCUCCAUGGCCUGUAGUUGGUGCUGGACUGCAACAAAAUGUCUGUGAGCCAUGCAAGAGCCAAGCUGAGACUUUCCUUCCACUGUGCAGAGGAAUGAUAUCACCCCACCUUUGGCUGCAUGCAUCACUUUUACUCAAGACUAGCAUCUCACAUGAUUUACAAGAACAUAAGACAAGCUGGAGUCUGUACAUUGGGCUCUCGUACAUUGGAGCCCCUAGUGGACAAGGACCAGAAGCUGUCAACCUGCAAAUGAGCACCUGUUCUCCUUAAAGUUACUGACCAAUGUGAAGAGAGACACUAGAAAGACUGCAGAUGUAUUUCAUUCAGGUACGACAUAAAAGGGUGUCAGAACUACCAAAAGAGCAGUAAGAGACUUGCUGUGGGUAAAUUCAGUUUAUGUCAGUGCGAGGGACUAGCAUAUGUAGCAAGGAGAGGAGGCUGCCUUUCAAUACAUAGAGAUUCAUGACUGGUGACACAAAAUUGCUUGAUUUACCAUUUUGCAUUUUAUUUCAGGACUCUUUUGUGAGAUCCAGAGGAUAUCUUCUUACUCCUGUCCAUGUUUCAGUACCCUUGCUUAUUCUUCAUAGCACUUGACUACAUGUGUAGGCUGACCUUUUCAUUCAUGACCUUUCCCUGAACGAAAAACAAUUACAAAAUAAGGUACUUGUCAAAGUGAAUGUAUCUGAAAGAAAUUUGGUGUUUAUACUCUGAGCUUUCUUGUUCAUGCUGAGGUUUCUGUUUCUGCUCCCUUUUUACCUCUAAAAUUAUUCUUGUCUCUCACGUUAUCUCUGAACACAGCUCAAAUUCUUUGUGUACUCUUUUCAUUCUUCAGUAUUAUUUUUGCUCACUUUCAAAUGAAAUCUCUUUGCAGCGGCUUUUAGAUUAUCCCCAGCUGUCAGAGACAGUACCUUUCUAAAUACUGGUAGCACUAGUAGAAUAGUAAGUACGUGUACUGCGCUGUAUUUGAUUAAACAACAACAAAAAGUAACAACUUUUGAAGAAGCUUUUUAGAAGUUUCAGGUGUGAAGAAUAAGACAUGAAGGCUCUUGGAAAUUUUAAUAAAUGGGCAAAGAGGGGGUGGGAGCUGAUGAGG